UACGAAGGGGACUAGCGUUGUUCGGAAUCACUGGGCGUAAAGCGCACGUAGGCGGAUAUGUCAGUCAGGGGUGAAAUCCCGGGGCUCAACCUCGGAACUGCCUUUGAUACAGCAUGUCUUGAGUCCGAUAGAGGUGGGUGGAAUUCCUAGUGUAGAGGUGAAAUUCGUAGAUAUUAGGAAGAACACCAGUGGCGAAGGCGGCCCACUGGAUCGGUACUGACGCUGAGGUGCGAAAGCGUGGGGAGCAAACAGG
rnacentral:rRNA from 1 species